rnacentral:lncRNA from 1 species
ACCGAGAACUCAUGAAAAACCUAGGAAAUCUCUUGCAUCAAGGCUGCACACGCCCGUGUAGGUAUAGAGCAGACGCCCGUGUCCUGAACCCAUGUCCAAAAACCUAGACAAAUACAAGGCUAUUUUCCAAGCCAUUUUGUCACCCUCACAACACAUGCACACAUACUUAUACAAUAGCAUACAACAUGGCAAAAUUUGGCACUUAAACAUUUCUAACAUGAUAUGACCAUGGUAAUUUCACAUGCAACCAUUGCAAUAAGUUUUUC